UUUUGCCAAAUGAUUUGUUGAAAAUUGCAUUUUUGCUAUUUUAAUCUUGCCAAAAAAGGGGGCCUCACUAAUCCUAAUUAUGUACAUACAGAAUGAUGCACAUUGCUUGCAUCUUUUUAUUCCUCCCAAAGAGCAUAUCAAGGAUAUAUAUAUACAUAAUUUGUUAGUUUAACAUAAGGCGAAGAGUACCAUUUGGUUUUAAGAGUAAAUAUAGGCUGAAUUUAUUCAAGACCAAAGCAACCUAUUUAAUGAGGACAAAUGAGUGAAACCAGCUGUUUUAGAAUUUAUCUGCAGACACUGGAGUGCUCCUUUAAACGAAGAAACAGCCUCCCAUGGCAGAGGAAAAGCCAGGUCCUUACAAAGGCCUCUCCCAUCCCAGUACUUCUUCUGCCUGCUGCUCUGCCCUGGGACGUAGGCCUUCCUGCCGUUUCUAGUCACAGGCACCCUCCUGCCUCAGGGCCUUUGCACAUGCCAUUCCUUCUACCUGAACAUUCUUCCCCAGAGAGCCACAUGGUUCACCCCUCACUACCUGCCAGUCUUUGCUCCAAUGUCACCUUUCAACGAGGCCUUCCCUGACUUAUUUAAAAGGACAACACACCCCACCCUCCCUCCCUACCCACCUCUCUGCAUCUUCUUCUUGUGCACCUAUCACCAUCUGAGUGCUGCAGAUGUUAAUCAUUCAUCCAUUUAUUUGAUUCUCGCCUCCCCAUCUCCCAUAGACUGUAAGCUCCAUGUGGGCAGGAACUUUUAUAUGUCUUGCUCAUUGCUGUAUCCUGGUGCCUACAACAGUGCCUGACACAUAUUAGGCACUGGAUAAGUAUUUAUUGAAAAAAGGAAAUUAAAUCAGUAAAUUGAAAACUAUUAAGAGGCCAGAAAAUGUCAAUUUCAGCUUUCAUCAAAUCUAGGUUCUAUUAUUGUGAGAACUUUAGCUGACCCAGUGACCUGGCUCCUAUGGGUACAAGAUGGUUAGAUACACCGGGCAGCAGCGGUGGCUUCUGUUCACAGACAAGUGAAUGCCUGCCCUGCCGCUAGCCCCACCUCACAAAUAUGAGGCUCACUGUUCGCAGGGGAGCAUUUUGGAACCAGCUGGGAUGAAGACAGUUUUCUGCAGGUAGCUUUUGUAGCCAGAUGCACAGUAGUGGGUUCCCAUCACUCCAUGAGGUCACUGUAGACCUGGACCAUUCCAGAGAAUCCUUUGUAAUCAGUCUUUAGGUGUCUCCCAGUCCUUCCCAGUUCAACACGGGUGGCAGCAGAUGGCCCAGCCCAGGGAAAGUCCACCUGACCAUUAGAAGGACUCAUCCUCCAGCCACCAAAGCAAGGCUGCAGAGGAAGAGGAGCUUGUCACAAACAUUAACCGGCUCAGGGCUGGGUAACUGCAUUGACAAAUUUGGAAGCAGCAGGGCCAGAGAGCCAAGGCCCCCGGGUAUCCCCAUUGGCCACUGGUGGAGGUGCACUGGAAGGUCAGGGCCUUGACACCACAGAGCCAAGCAACACACACCUCCUUGGGCCCAGGCCCCAGCACGGUGGCCCUCCAGUGCUGGCAGGUGGCCUCACCCACAGCAGGGGAGGCGUGGGUCCUCCAAUGACCUUCCUGCCCCUGCCAGAUGAUUUUCACAACUACCUAACUUUGGUGUUUACUUCUAGGUCCUUUGGCCAAAUGCGUUUUCUUCUAAGAGUUGUUGGCAAAAUACUGUUACAAGCUUCUUAUGGGACUUUUGUCCUACUGUGGCCUGGUUAAAGGCUUUGUCCUCCUGUUUAAUCCACUUCCGUGGUUUUGCUGUCAUUUCUCUUGAUGCCAUAUUUUCAGGUCCCUCGUGGGAGGGGGCAUAAGGUCUCCAUCGUGAUGCCCUCUCUGCAGCUGUCCAGCCAGCAGUGAGUGGGCCCACACAUGUGCAUUCCUGUGCUUGAAUUGCCAAAUAAACAGUGUCCCUUUCAUUGCUGCCCAAACAGACUGGAAGCCUGCUCCUGCCAGCACUCAGGGAGGGAGUGUGUGCUUCCCAAGAGCCUGCCCCCUUGGCCCAUGCAAACUUUCUCCAUGGCAGGUGUCCGUGAAGGUCUCCCAGGCCCUAUGGGCUGUCCAGCUCUUUGCACACAUUCUUCCCGCUUGCAGGAAUGGAAUCCAAACACCUGAUACGGAAUGAUGACUUGGCAGUGGGGAGUGGGGCAGCUUGUCUCCGCUAACUUAGGACCAAAACUAGGAAACUCACCAUGAGCAUGUGUUGGAGAUCAGCUGUGGCCUCCAGCCCCUGUACACACAGAGGCAAGCCCCACCUCUGACAGAGCCAGUCACCGUUCAGUAGGAGCUUGUCUUCCCUGGGCCCCCAGGUGGGAAAGGCUGGGCUCUUAGUCCUACAAGUAAAGGCGCUGUUAGGAGCAAGGAGCAGGCUUAGCUGGGUCCACAGAGGGACUAAGCUCCUUAGUGACCUGUUACUGCCUCAUCUACGGAGUUUGAACUCCAUUCACCAUCACCUUUGAGAAUUUGGCCUUGUUUUAACUAAGGAUUGUUGAAGUUAAUUAUAACAAGGGACCAUCCUCACCCUGUGUUUGCUUUGUUCCAUUAAACGUGCGUUUGGCCUAAUGAAGUCAGUGAAUGUUCCUCUUUUUUCUUUUUUGGUUUCUUUGACUGAUUUUUGGAUGAUAUAUGUUGCUUUAUUUCUCCCAUUUUCUUUGAUUACUGUGGACAAAGGAAAACACUGAGGCAAAAGUAGGUCGUCAAUCACAUUACUUUGACCCAGUUGUGCAGAACCCCUUUCUACCUGCAGGUGUUAAUUCCAAUUCAAUGCAAAUAUCCUUUUCAAUCCGGUCCAUUCUUGGAGAAGAAACCCAUUGUAAGAGCUGUCUUCUGUGGUUGGGAUAUUACUUUGUAAAGUAUUAAAGCACUAAACCAGUUUUUGCAAUAUGUAGUAAAUCUUGCUUUCAUUUUGGAAAACUUCCAGUAAUGACUACUGCACUUUUUAUAGAAGAAUUGUAUUUAAUUUCUUUCUUUUAUGAAAGAUUAUUUCAAGUAAAAAUAGCUCUGUAAUCUGUGUGACAUGGCUUCUCCAUUACCUGACACAGAGAGAAGCUUUGAUGCCUACUCAAUAAAAUUAACAUGUUUGU
rnacentral:lncRNA from 1 species